GCAACUCUCCAACCUCAUUCCCAUUUUAUGAGAUUAACCGGGUGCUGGGCACUACACCCAGCAUACAGCAGCCAACUAUGGUGCAUGAUGACCUGGUCAGCCAGGAUGGUGUGCUGCUGGCCCCUGAAUCCAGCAUGGGGGCUGAUGUGAGCCAGAGCAGGAGCUGAAUGGGGAGCAUAAAGUAACUCUGGUUUUGAAACCAGUCCCAGUGGAACAGGAUCAAAUUCUAACUCCCUACUUGGAAAAGCUGUUUGAUCCCUGCCCUGAGGAACACCCCGCUGCCAAGUCUACAGCAAAUCUGAAGGAGACAGAAGCCACCCCAGAGCCCAGACAAAAUAAAGAAGAUGGAGCUGUGAGUCCAUUUGUUUCAGCAACCUUCCAAACAGAUUGGAGAAUAGGUUGUUGCAUUUUGCACUGGGUAUGGAGUCUCCUAGCAACUUUCCACUGGAUCUUCCUCCAGGGAGGUAGGGAACCCUUCGUGAGCAUUAGACCAAAUCAACUCCCCAUUAGAAGUCAUGAGUUGUCCUCAUUUGUGUUAAACAUAACAUGCUGACUUUGUAUCUCUCACUACCGUGUAUAUUUUAGUAAUAAAACCUUUGAUUUGUCUUUU